rnacentral:rRNA from 1 species
UACCAGACUCCUACGGGAGGCAGCAGUGGGGAAUAUUGCACAAUGGGCGAAAGCCUGAUGCAGCAACGCCGCGUGAAGGAAGAAGGCCUUCGGGUCGUAAACUUCUGUCCUUGGGGAAGAAGAACUGACGGUACCUGAAGAAGAAGCCCCGGCUAACUACGUGCCAGCAGCCGCGGUAAUACGUAGGGGGCAAGCGUUAUCCGGAUUUACUGGGUGUAAAGGGGGCGCAGACGGCGAUGCAAGCCAGGAGUGAAAGCCCGGGGCCCAACCCCGGGACUGCUCUUGGAACUGCGUGGCUGGAGUGCAGGAGGGGCUGGCGGAAUUCCUGGUGUAGCGGUGAAAUGCGUAGAUAUCAGGAGGAACACCGGUGGCGAAGGCGGCCUGCUGGACUGCAACUGACGUUGAGGCCCGAAAGCGUGGGGAGCAAACAGGAUUAGAUACCCCAGUAC